GACGAACGCUGGCGGCGUGCUUAACACAUGCAAGUCGAACGGAAAGGCCCUGCUUUUGUGGGGUGCCCGAGUGGCGAACGGGUGAGUAACACGUGAGUAACCUGCCCUGGACUUUGGGACAACUUCAGGAAACUGGGGCUAAUACCGGAUAGGUGCUCCUGCUGCAUGGUGGGGGUCGGAAAGCUUCGGCGGUUGGGGAUGGACUCGCGGCUUAUCAGCUUGUGGGUGGGGGAGUGGCUUACCACGGGUUUGACGGAUAGCCGGCCUGAGAGGGUGAACAGGCACAUUGGGCCUGAGAGAGGGCGCAGAGGCCAACGGUAGACAACGGGGGGGAAUAUGACACAACGAGGGGAAGCGUGAGGAGGAGGCGCCGCGUGCGGAAAGAAGGCCUACGGGUUGGAAAGCGCUUUAGGCUGAGACCAAGCGUGAGUGACGGUAAUGGGUAAAGAAGCACCGGCUAACUACGUG
rnacentral:rRNA from 1 species